rnacentral:rRNA from 1 species
GAUGAACGCUGGCGGCGUGCCUAAUACAUGCAAGUCGAGCGAACGGACGAUAAUCUUGCUUCUCUCAUGUUUGCGGCGCACGGGUGAGUAACACGUGUAUAACCCACUUAUAAGUCUGGGAUCACUUCGGGAAACCGGAGCUAAUCCCGGAUAAUAUUUUGAACCGCAUGGUUCAAAGGUGAAAGUCGGCCUUGCUGUCACUUAUAGCUGCAUCCGGGCUGCAUUAGCUAGUUGGUAAGGUAACGGCUUACCAAGGCGACGAUGCAUAGCCGACCUGAGAGAGGGGUAGGCGACACGGGAAGUGAGACGCGGACAAGACGCCUGAGGGAGGCAGCAGUAGGGAAUGUGAGGCAGUGGGCGAAAGCCUGGCGGAGCAACGCGGAGUGAGUGAUGAAGGUCUUGGGAUCGUGAAACUCGGUUAUGAGGGAAGAACAGCUGUGUAAGGAACCGAGGAGAGCUUGACGGUACCUGAUCAGAAAGCCACGGCUAACUACGUG